UCUGGUGGCGUGUGCCUGUAGUCCCAGCUAUUCGGGAGGCUGAGGCUGGAAGAUCUCUUGAGCCCAGGAGUUCUGGGCUGUAGUGCGCUAUGCCGAUCAGGUGUCUGCACUAAGUUCAGCAUCAAUAUGGUGACCUCCCGGGAGUGGGGGAUCACCAGGUUGCCUAAGGAGGGGUGAACCAGCCCAGGUCGGAAACAGAGCAGGUCAAAACUCCCGUGCUGAUCAGUAGUGGGAUUGUGCCUGUGAAUAGCCACCGCACUCCAGCCUGGGCAACAUAGCGAGAUUCCAUCUCU
rnacentral:SRP_RNA from 1 species